rnacentral:rRNA from 1 species
UACGAAGGGGGCUAGCGUUGCUCGGAAUUACUGGGCGUAAAGGGCUCGUAGGUGGUCAACUAAGUCGGACGUGAAAUCCCUCGGCUUAACCGGGGAACUGCGUCCGAUACUGGAUGACUUGAGUUCGGGAGAGGGAUGCGGAAUUUCAGGUGUAGCGGUGAAAUGCGUAGAUAUCUGGAGGAACACCGGUGGCGAAGGCGGCAUCCUGGACCGACACUGACGCUGAGGAGCGAAAGCCAGGGGAGCAAACGGG